UUAAGCGACUAAGCGUACACGGUGGAUGCCCUGGCAGUCAGAGGCGAUGAAGGACGUGCUAAUCUGCGAUAAGCGUCGGUAAGGUGAUAUGAACCGUUAUAACCGGCGAUUUCCGAAUGGGGAAACCCAGUGUGAUUCGUCACACUAUCAUUAACUGAAUCCAUAGGUUAAUGAGGCGAACCGGGGGAACUGAAACAUCUAAGUACCCCGAGGAAAAGAAAUCAACCGAGAUUCCCCCAGUAGCGGCGAGCGAACGGGGAGCAGCCCAGAGCCUGAAUCAGUGUGUGUGUUAGUGGAAGCGUCUGGAAAGGCGUGCGAUACAGGGUGACAGCCCCGUACACAAAAAUGCACAUACUGUGAGCUCGAUGAGUAGGGCGGGACACGUGGUAUCCUGUCUGAAUAUGGGGGGACCAUCCUCCAAGGCUAAAUACUCCUGACUGACCGAUAGUGAACCAGUACCGUGAGGGAAAGGCGAAAAGAACCCCGGCGAGGGGAGUGAAAAAGAACCUGAAACCGUGUACGUACAAGCAGUGGGAGCACGCUUAGGCGUGUGACUGCGUACCUUUUGUAUAAUGGGUCAGCGACUUAUAUUCUGUAGCAAGGUUAACCGAAUAGGGGAGCCGAAGGGAAACCGAGUCUUAACUGGGCGUUAAGUUGCAGGGUAUAGACCCGAAACCCGGUGAUCUAGCCAUGGGCAGGUUGAAGGUUGGGUAACACUAACUGGAGGACCGAACCGACUAAUGUUGAAAAAUUAGCGGAUGACUUGUGGCUGGGGGUGAAAGGCCAAUCAAACCGGGAGAUAGCUGGUUCUCCCCGAAAGCUAUUUAGGUAGCGCCUCGUGAAUUCAUCUCCGGGGGUAGAGCACUGUUUCGGCAAGGGGGUCAUCCCGACUUACCAACCCGAUGCAAACUGCGAAUACCGGAGAAUGUUAUCACGGGAGACACACGGCGGGUGCUAACGUCCGUCGUGAAGAGGGAAACAACCCAGACCGCCAGCUAAGGUCCCAAAGUCAUGGUUAAGUGGGAAACGAUGUGGGAAGGCCCAGACAGCCAGGAUGUUGGCUUAGAAGCAGCCAUCAUUUAAAGAAAGCGUAAUAGCUCACUGGUCGAGUCGGCCUGCGCGGAAGAUGUAACGGGGCUAAACCAUGCACCGAAGCUGCGGCAGCGACACUAUGUGUUGUUGGGUAGGGGAGCGUUCUGUAAGCCUGUGAAGGUGUACUGUGAGGUAUGCUGGAGGUAUCAGAAGUGCGAAUGCUGACAUAAGUAACGAUAAAGCGGGUGAAAAGCCCGCUCGCCGGAAGACCAAGGGUUCCUGUCCAACGUUAAUCGGGGCAGGGUGAGUCGACCCCUAAGGCGAGGCCGAAAGGCGUAGUCGAUGGGAAACAGGUUAAUAUUCCUGUACUUGGUGUUACUGCGAAGGGGGGACGGAGAAGGCUAUGUUGGCCGGGCGACGGUUGUCCCGGUUUAAGCGUGUAGGCUGGUUUUCCAGGCAAAUCCGGAAAAUCAAGGCUGAGGCGUGAUGACGAGGCACUACGGUGCUGAAGCAACAAAUGCCCUGCUUCCAGGAAAAGCCUCUAAGCAUCAGGUAACAUCAAAUCGUACCCCAAACCGACACAGGUGGUCAGGUAGAGAAUACCAAGGCGCUUGAGAGAACUCGGGUGAAGGAACUAGGCAAAAUGGUGCCGUAACUUCGGGAGAAGGCACGCUGAUAUGUAGGUGAAGUCCCUCGCGGAUGGAGCUGAAAUCAGUCGAAGAUACCAGCUGGCUGCAACUGUUUAUUAAAAACACAGCACUGUGCAAACACGAAAGUGGACGUAUACGGUGUGACGCCUGCCCGGUGCCGGAAGGUUAAUUGAUGGGGUCAGCGCAAGCGAAGCUCUUGAUCGAAGCCCCGGUAAACGGCGGCCGUAACUAUAACGGUCCUAAGGUAGCGAAAUUCCUUGUCGGGUAAGUUCCGACCUGCACGAAUGGCGUAAUGAUGGCCAGGCUGUCUCCACCCGAGACUCAGUGAAAUUGAACUCGCUGUGAAGAUGCAGUGUACCCGCGGCAAGACGGAAAGACCCCGUGAACCUUUACUAUAGCUUGACACUGAACAUUGAGCCUUGAUGUGUAGGAUAGGUGGGAGGCUUUGAAGUGUGGACGCCAGUCUGCAUGGAGCCGACCUUGAAAUACCACCCUUUAAUGUUUGAUGUUCUAACGUUGACCCGUAAUCCGGGUUGCGGACAGUGUCUGGUGGGUAGUUUGACUGGGGCGGUCUCCUCCUAAAGAGUAACGGAGGAGCACGAAGGUUGGCUAAUCCUGGUCGGACAUCAGGAGGUUAGUGCAAUGGCAUAAGCCAGCUUGACUGCGAGCGUGACGGCGCGAGCAGGUGCGAAAGCAGGUCAUAGUGAUCCGGUGGUUCUGAAUGGAAGGGCCAUCGCUCAACGGAUAAAAGGUACUCCGGGGAUAACAGGCUGAUACCGCCCAAGAGUUCAUAUCGACGGCGGUGUUUGGCACCUCGAUGUCGGCUCAUCACAUCCUGGGGCUGAAGUAGGUCCCAAGGGUAUGGCUGUUCGCCAUUUAAAGUGGUACGCGAGCUGGGUUUAGAACGUCGUGAGACAGUUCGGUCCCUAUCUGCCGUGGGCGCUGGAGAACUGAGGGGGGCUGCUCCUAGUACGAGAGGACCGGAGUGGACGCAUCACUGGUGUUCGGGUUGUCAUGCCAAUGGCACUGCCCGGUAGCUAAAUGCGGAAGAGAUAAGUGCUGAAAGCAUCUAAGCACGAAACUUGCCCCGAGAUGAGUUCUCCCUGACUCCUUGAGAGUCCUGAAGGAACGUUGAAGACGACGACGUUGAUAGGCCGGGUGUGUAAGCGCAGCGAUGCGUUGAGCUAACCGGUACUAAUGAACCGUGAGGCUUAACCUU
rnacentral:rRNA from 2 species